AACUGAUACUACCUGCGGGAACCUGCGGAGGGAUCAUUACAGAGUUUUCUAACUCCCAAACCCAUGUGAACUUACCAUUGUUGCCUCGGCGGAGCCUACCCUGUAGCUACCCUAUAAGGUGGUUACCCUGUAGCGCCCCGCCGGUGGAUUUUCAAACUCUUGUUAUUUUUAGUAAUCUGAGAGUCUUAUUUUAAAUAAGUCAAAACUUUUAACAAUGGAUCUCUAGAUCGGAAGAGCACA
rnacentral:misc_RNA from 1 species